UACGUAGGGUCCGAGCGUUGUCCGGAAUCACUGGGCGUAAAGGGCGCGUAGGUGGCGCGGGCAGUCAACGGUGAAAGUUCGGGGCUCAACCCUGAAUCGGCCGUCGAUACUCCCGUGCUUGAGCACUGUAGAGGCAGAUGGAAUUCCGGGUGUAGCGGUGGAAUGCGUAGAGAUCCGGAAGAACACCGGUGGCGAAGGCGGUCUGCUGGGCAGUAGCUGACACUGAGGCGCGACAGCGUGGGGAGCAAACAGG
rnacentral:rRNA from 1 species